rnacentral:tRNA from 1 species
AAUUGUUUAGCUUAACCCUUAAAGUAGAUAUCUUGAAAAUAUCGGACAAAAGUUUGAAUCUUUUAACAAUUU